UACGUAGGGGGCGAGCGUUGUCCGGAUUUAUUGGGCGUAAAGAGCGUGUAGGCGGUUCGGUAAGUCUGUCGUGAAAUCCUGAGGCUCAACCUCGGGCGUGCGAUGGAUACUGCCGGGCUAGAGGGUGGUAGAGGCGAGUGGAAUUCCUGGUGUAGCGGUGGAAUGCGCAGAUAUCAGGAGGAACACCAAUAGCGAAGGCAGCUCGCUGGGACGGUACUGACACUAAGGCGCGAAAGCGUGGGGAGCGAACAGG
rnacentral:rRNA from 1 species